GCCCUCGUAGCCCAAUGGUAGGGCGUCAGACUUCUAUUUUCAGAUGUUGGAAAAAGUAAAUCUGAAGGCUGCGGGUUCGAGUCCCGCCGGGGGUA
rfam:Ajellomyces capsulatus H88 supercont1.1 genomic scaffold, whole genome shotgun sequence.